AGGCUGAACAUCUCAGGGUUAUUGACAGGAAAGUAGAUAAAAUAGCAUAGAGGCUUGAUAUCUGCCUAGCUCUAGUGCUUUAAGGCUUAUUAUAAAUAUGAAGGGUUUGCAUCUUUUAUUUGGGAACUAAAUGAUCUAAGGUGGGUUAGAACCUCCCCCCCCCCACCCGAAUAAAACUUACCACAACAGAGAAUCUCAAAGGAAAGAAGGAAGGAGAACAGGCAAGCAGAGCGUCUACUGUCCCCUGUAUCAUUAAUACUUGGGUCCCUGCACCCAAGGGAAACAAUCAUUUUCUCCCAUUCUUCAGCAAGUAUGUACAGAGCACAGAGUCUAAGCAGUCUUUGGUGCUUAGUGAUGAUGAUGAUUUUAAAAAUGUAAGCAAGUCAAGAAUGGAUUCCAAUAACCAAAGCCUAACUAACAAAACCUGAAACAGUGAGAUGACGGUGGAAUGUGAAAAUGUAUGGCAUGGGAGGGACGAAAUCCUCAUCAUAAAGCAUUCAUACAGUUAAUAAAACCAUCACAUCUACUGGACACAGAACUACUCACAUCACAUCACAUCUACUGGACACAGAACUACUGCGGUGGCAUCACCGCAUUUGAAGAUACUGUGUCUGUAUCAACAAUUAGCUGGAAAGCGAGACUGGACCCUUAUCUGUAGACCCUUUUCCUGCUUUGCAUGGAAGAUAAGGACCCGAACAAGAAGAGGAAGGUGAGAGACAAUCAGAAGAAAAGACUAUAGAAGCACAC
rnacentral:lncRNA from 1 species